rnacentral:rRNA from 1 species
ACCAUUUAGUGGGGAAUAACUGUUGGAAACGACAGCUAAUACCGCAUAAUAUUGCUGGAUAACUUCCAGUAAUGAAAGGAGCUUUCAAGCUCCGCUGAUUGAUGAGGAUGCGGCGCAUUAGCUAGUUGGUAGGGUAAUGGCCUACCAAGGCAAUGAUGCGUAGCCGAUCUGAGAGGAUGAACGGCCACAUUGGGACUGAGACACGGCCAAAACUUCUACGGAAGGCAGCAGUAGGGAAUUUUUCACAAUGGGCGAAAGCCUGAUGGAGCAAUGCCGCGUGACUGAUGAAGGUCUUCGGAUUGUAAAGGUCUGUUGUAAGGGAAGAAAUGGUAAAACAGGAAAUGGUUUUAUCUAUGACGGUACCUUACCAGAAAGCCACGGCUAACUAUGUGCCAGCAGCCGCGGUAAUACAUAGGUGGCAAGCGUUAUCCGGAUUUAUUGGGCGUAAAGGGUGCGUAGACGGUUUUGCAAGUCUGANGUUAAAUUUAGGAGCUCAACUCCUAAUCGCCUUGGAAACUACAAGACUAGAGUAUAGGAGAGGUUAGUGGAAUUCCAUGUGUAGCGGUGGAAUGUGUAGAUAUAUGGAGGAACACCAGUGGCGAANNCGGCUAACUGGCCUAUCACUG